CUUCGAUCUUUCUCUCCUUGGGAAGAAUUUUUCUUCUUCAAUUUUCUGCUAUAUAACUAGCAGAGAAGUCUCUUUUUGAUAUCCAAAAAUUAGUAAGAAAAAAUUUCAAAAAUCUUUCAAGAAGAGAGGAGAAGAGGAGAGACAAGAUGAUUGAGAUAUGGGGCGUCCAACUCUUGGACUCCCCCUUCUCUUUUCUUUUCCUUUUGGGCGACAAGAA
rnacentral:lncRNA from 1 species